UUCAGAGGGUGCAAGCGUUGUUCGGAAUUACUGGGCGUAAAGGGCGCGUAGGCGGCUUUUUAAGUCAGGCGUGAAAGCCCCAGGCUCAACCUGGGACGUGCGCUUGAUACUGGAAAGCUAGAGUAUAGGAGAGGAAAGCAGAAUUCCUAGUGUAGAGGUGAAAUUCGUAGAUAUUAGGAAGAAUACCGGUGGCGAAGGCGGCUUUCUGGACUAUUACUGACGCUGAGGCGCGAAAGCGUGGGGAGCAAACAGG
rnacentral:rRNA from 1 species